UGCUUUGUCAGAGUGAGGACUUUGAUGUUUCAUGGGCAUUUGGGUAUGGGCAGAUAUCCCUACAGGCCACUCCUACAGCCACGUUAGGGGACCAUGGAGAACACAGACUGACCCACGAGUGAGUGGAGAACAGAAGGAUGGGGAGGUGAAGGGAGAGGAGCUCACCGGAAGAGCAAGGUUGGAAAGAGAAGAACUCGGAAAAGUGUGUGAUUCUACUGUGUCUCUCCUGGACACAGGAAGGAGAAUUUUAGCUAUGAUUUGGGACUGGGACAUCCCAUCUAAGAAGAGAGAAUUUCAGACAACGUACCUAAGGGAGUGGUUUCCAGUACUGGGAAUUGAACUCACAACCUCAUGCUUGCCAGGCAGGAGCUGUACCACUGAGCUAAAUCCCCAGCCAAAGACUAGACUUUCUAUCUACUCUCUAGAGAAACCUACUGCAAACGACAGGGAAGGAAUUUGAAAAGGUGUAAACUCCCAAGCCCAGAGACAGCUGCCGAGAGGAUGUUGAGGUGGAAAGCCAACUGUGGCAGUGGCUGACUGGGCAGGUGGCGAAUAGCACUAACACCUAGAAGCCCCCAAAAAAUGAGGAAGAAGAAGGCAAAAGGAAAUGAGAAGUGUUGCUCUAAAGAAUCUGGAAAGACUAGGAAUGGAUGGUUCUAGGUGCUUAUCAAGAUGAGGGAGAAGGUGGAGCCCAAAUACAAGGUCUGUCUGGGAAAUCUGGACCAGGAAGUUACACAGUGUCCCCUCGGCACCUCUCCCCCUGUCCUGGAAGAAGGCAGGAAGUUCACACUCUGGGGACACUGACCUGACAGAGGGAGUGGAGUGAGGGGCUGGAUGGAAGCAGAAAGAUUAAGGGAAAGUCCUUACAUAGAAGAACAAAGCUGCCAAAGCUCACCUCAGCUCCAGGCAUGGAGACCCAGGCUCAUUCUCCUCAUGGAGGGAGGCAAGGUUUUUUUUGGACUAAGUGACCAGACCUCAAGAACACCUACAUGGACCUGACAUUAAGUCCCCCAAGGACAUGCUUGGACCCCAGCUCAUCUUUCUGCAGGGAGCUCACCAGUUAGCUUCACCCACAUACACAGGGCCUCCAGUCAGCUUUCUAACACCUCAACACUAACACAAGCAGCCAAAGAUCUCCAGAUGUAAAAAGAAAUUUGCUAAUGUGAAAGACAGAGUUCAAAAACAAAAGCAAUUACAAAUCCACAGAGGGAAAACACGGAAGGAAUGUGAGAGAGGAGAACAUCAAAACCCUUCUGUUCAUCAUGAGUCACAGUAUCCCUGAAACAACAGGGUGCUGUGAUAAGGGAAUAUGUGUGAGUAAGAUGAGUCUCUUGAAAAUUAAAAAUGUGAAAGUACAAUAUUUUUAGAAAUCAAUAAGAUUAGACAGAAAUGUGAAGAAUAUCAUCUAGUAAAUGGUACCAAAAAAGCAAUGAUUUAAAAUAAGAAAGUAAAAUACACAAUGUCACUGUGAAACAUCAGAAUACUAAGGAUAAAGAGAAAAUCCUUCUUGAAAGUUCCAAAGAGAACAACAGUUUUUACAUAGUGAGUCACAAAGGCAGUGGAGAAAUGACUUCAGGAUCCCAGGAAAGUGAUUCCUAGACCUUGGCUCCUGGCCACACUUCCAGUCAGCAUGGAAUUAGAAUCAGGUUGUGUGAAAUGCCCCAGUGUGGGAAACAUGGUUAUGCUCGGCCCUAAGAGUUCCUCACUGUCCUUCCCCUUCACUUGUGCUCAGAUCAGAUGGCUGUGAAAGGAAGUGAUGUGGCCACUUCCCAGACAAUGUCCUCCUGAGAGGGACGUGAGCCCCGUGCUUUCUGCAGAGGCCUCAUUUGGAGAUGCUGGAACCACAGGACUCAGGCAGUUUGGGCUGAGGGAGAGCUCAGUGGUUGAGUGAGUUUUCAGCAUGCCUGAGGCUGUGGGUUCACUUCCCACCACUGCAAAAUAAUGAACAAAUGUCGGAGGAGGUUGGAUCACUGGUCUGAUGCUUGGGCAACAGCUGUCUUGGACAGUCCUGAAUUUUUGGCCAAUUUAUGAGCCAGACAGAGACUUGGAAUAAGAUGUGAUCAAAAAUACAGUGAAUGCCAGGCAUGGUGGUGCAUACAUGUAAUCCCAGUACUCGGGUGGCUGAGGCAGGAAGAUCGCCAUGACUUCCAGGCUACUCUGGACUGCACAAUAAGACCCUGUCUGAAAAACAAAACAAAAUAAAACAACAAAAAAAUAGUGACUGUUGAAAUUUUUUAAAAAUGUAUUAUAAUAAGAGAUGCAUUGCCAUUAGUUCCCUUGAGAUACUCCCUUUUCCCUUGAACAUACUUAAUCCCAUCAUUCUUGCCAUUUUCUGAAGCAGCUCUGGAGUCCUCCUUCCUGGGUGUCUUUAGUUGCACUGUCAUGGCUGCCUUCAUGUCCUGAACCAAUUCAGAAUUACCUUUCAUGGUCGUUUUGACUUUGGGGAAGAGGCAGAGUCACACAGUUCCAGGCCCAGGGAAUCAGGACACAUGGUGAUGUUUUUAUGAGUCUGCCUUUCAUUGGAUGGUACUCAACAGCAGCAUUCACAUUUUUGAUCACACCUCAUAAAGAUACUCACAGAAGAAGACUUCUAGAAGUGUCUCAGCCAGUGGCAAGAAACAUGAGAUCAGUGUGUUCAAAGUGACAGGAGAGACCUUCAGGGAGAUUAAUGGUGAUAUGUCAUCUACUGUAAUAAAGUUUUGUUAUGUAAACACAUGACACACACCACAUUUUGAUCAGCUCUUAUAUUAAACCAUUGAGAACUGGGGUGUAUUUGUUACUAUAGCACAGUUCAGCCUAGCCUAGUACACAACCUAACAAAAGUAUUUCUAACUAUAUUACACCAUUUCUCAAGAAAUGUAUGAUGGGGAUCCUGUGACCUAGCAAUUCUACUUCUAGACUCUUUGUGGCAGCUCUGUCUCCAACAUCCGAAUACUUUCCAUUCAUGCCACACAUCACAGCAAAAAAUAAGCAAAGGAAUAAACUACUCAGCAACGACACGGCUGACUCUCCCAAGUUUGAGAGCAAGUGGGACGCAGGAGUGCACCUGCAUGACUCUAUCACUUGAAGCUCAAGAGGCGGCAGAGCGGGUUGGUGGUGACAGAAGUCAGAACCGGGAUCAGAACAGACAGGGAGGGAGGCAUAGAUUGGCAGAGGCACAAAGGAGCCCUACAGAUGGCUGGAAUUAUCUGACACUUUCUUCCGGACGGUGGUUAUGUGAAUGUAUACGUGUCCAAAAAUUUACGAGCUGGACGCUUACAUUUAGUGAUUUUUAAGUCUGCUGCCCCUCAAUUAAAAAAAAAUAAGUUUGGAGAGAAGCUACUGGAGACUAGGUUUUAGCAAAAUGUAGGUAUGAACCCAAAGCAGAAAGUGUGAGGUCUAGGCAAUCAGAAAUCCCCGCUGCCCGAGAACAGGGAUGCGAGAAGUUCCUAACUAGACACAGGGCCUCUAAGUCAUUUAGCUGCACAGCUGGUCAUUAAACUGCCCAGACUGGGCUCAUGCAGGCCUGCACCACCAUGCCUGGGCCUUACUCCUUCCUUAUACUUGUUAUAAAAAAUUCAAAUGUAGCCAGGCAUGGUGUGAUUAGGCCUGUAAUUAUGCCUGUGAUGCCAGCUAUUCAGGAGGCUGAGGUAGGAGGGUUUAAAGUUAGAGCCCAGGCUAGGCAGUUUAGUAACACCUUACUUUAAAAUAAAACAAGAAAGGUUGAGGGUGUAGCUUACUGGUAAAAUGCCCCUGGGUAUGAUCCUUAGUACAUACAUACACACAUACACACAUACAUACACACAUACAUACAUAGGCAGAGGAUAUAGCUCACUCAGCACCUCUUGAGUUCAGUCCUGAGUACCAAAAUAAAAGGUUGUUUGGUCAACAUUGAAGACAGAAAGAAAAUCAAGAGCAGGGUCUUGGAAGGCUCAGUGGAGGUUUUUUCCUGGUAGCUCUGUGUAGGGAACAGCGUGUGUCUGGUGCUAGAACAAAGAUUAGGAUGUCAAGCUCUGGUGAAAUAAAGGCUUUAGGUUUCUGGCCAACGGAAGGGCCCUCUAGUGGUCUCAGAGUAACAGGCAAACCCUAAAAAGCAUCCUUAAAUCACCUCAUUCCUGGGGGAAAACCGUGGUACACCAAGCAGUAAUUUGAGUACUAUGUUACCACGGGAAGAAUGUGUUCAAAGGUCAGAUGUAGGAUUGGAUUCUCCUAGGAGUCCUAAACUGAGCUAUUUAUUUUUUUAUUGCAGUGCUGGGGAUGGAGUCUUCUAUAUGCUAGGCUACCCCUGAGCUAUACUCCAGCCCUUAUCUAUAUUUGCAAAAAGGAAUAAUAAUAUCUACUCUAUCCAGCAAGCUCGAGGAUAAAAACAUAGUACAUGUAAAAAUGACCAGCCUUACGAUGAGAAUAUGCAUAAAGUCUGAAGAUUUUGGAAGUUACCUAAAUUCAUAAUUUAAAUUUCAUCUCUAGUGUUGAUACCAACUCGUAUGCAGCAGGAAGUCUGAUACAUGUCGCACUUGGAGGUUCCGAUUCUCAUUGUUGGAAGAUAAACGUUUAGCCAUUCGUCAGUCUUUGCAAGAGACAUGUACCAUUCACAUUGUCAUGAUGUUCACAUCACCGAACAAGAAAAGGGGAAGAAGACCGUGCUGCAGGGAUCUGGGGUGAGGAGGGAGAAGCAUCUGCGGCUUCCAGCACCUCCUGCUUUAGGACCAGACACCAUCGGUCUGCACCACUGUCCCCAGUUAUACUGGUGGCAGUGUCAGCAUCCAUUUCUGGCUCUACACGGAAAAAUACUCCUCUGCCUGCAGUCCUCCCUGGUACUCACCCCAGAUUGACAGUUUCCUUCCAAGGGGGCAGUACCAAGUCCAGGGAGCCAGUAUUGAGUCCAAGGAGCCAGUACCAAGUCUGGGGAGCCAGUACCAAGUCCAGGGAGCCAGUACUGAUCCCAAAGAGUCAGUACUGAGUCCAAGGAGCCUGGGUAACAUAUUCCAGGGAGAGGGCUGGUGGGAAGUGUGGGAUGGAUACAGGCACCCAUUUAGGCAGCAUUUUUAUCUUAGGCUUUGAAGAUUUUGCUACUGAACAUCAAAUUUCUCUUCUUUGGCUGUUUGGCUAUAUAUUGGUUUUUUUCUGAUGUGAAAAAGGGUUUCAUCUCUGCUGUGAAAACCAAGCACAGACUGCAGUCACAGACACCUCUUCUUGUGGGAACCAUAUUUUCCCACUAUUAUGCAAAGAGCCUGCCUCUGCUCCUGUCUGAGGAGACCCCUACACAGCAGGAGUCUUUCCCUAAAACUAUUUCCCCUACCUUCUCCAUUCCACUGCUUUGCAUUUCAUACACGCUACCGCAGGCAGUUGUCAUUAUUUGUCUUGCUCCCAUGGAAAUGCAUUUUCUGAGCGCUCCCUGUCACUUGUUCUGAUCCUACUGUUUGUCAAAACAUUGCCUCUGAAGUUGCCUCCUUCUCCAAGAAGCCAAAAAUAUAUAAAUAUUUCUCAUCACCUACAAGUUCAUCCAUCACAAAUCUCACCGGGAUUUGAAAUUAGGGCGACUUGGGGUUUUUGUUUCCAUGAGGGUGAUUCCCAUUGUAACACAGUGAAGGAAUUAUAGGAUUCAAAGAUCUCCCCCUUGAACCCGGCAUAUUAAAAAAUGGUCACAAAAAGCUUACUUUGCUGUGUGCUCAUGCUGUGUGCAACAGGAAGGCCAAACCCCACCUUUGGGAGGGGGGCAGUGGGCAGGGGGGAGGGGGCACAGACCCACAAUCAGGAACUUCAGAAUCGGGUCCUACGCUCACUGUGGUUUGGCUGCUCUGGGGCCAAUGCACACACCUUAGCUGCGCUUUCUCGCCGGUGGCUCACUCAUAACCUAAAGACGCUUCAGAUGCCCCUGGAGUCACAGUUCCUUGGUGUUCUCUGCACCCUCUUUCCUUUGCCACCCUCUGCUUAUGACCUGGGUGUGCUGGCGAUGGCUUGUUAAGCUCAUUGUCAGGCAUUAGGUUAGACCCAUAUCCCGGAAGGUCAGUGCUCUGAUGUGCCUCGUCCCCAGCCCUUCCAUGGCUGCCCACUGCCUCCCUGGUGUUUUGGACUCGCCUCGGUGGAGCCACAAGCGCCCACUGGAGAGCAGUUACCAGCAAUUCCCACACGCCUUUUAGAGGCUGUGAGGCUUGACAGAUCGAGUCAGCUUGAGUAAAGAAGCUCAGUUAAGCCGGUUCAUCAGCUCCACACCCUAGGAUGUGGAAGGCCCACCCUAGGGAGGCUUGUCACCUGGACAGUAUAAAGAGGGAAGGAAGAAGGACCGAUCUGCUUCUAUUUUUUUGGAGGAGCUCCAGUCUUUGCCUGCACUUUAGACGUCCUCUUCUGGCUUCCAACGCAGACUCUUCAGCUUCUGGCAAAGAUCCUUCAGCUUCCAGCAUAGACCCUUCAGCCUUCCAUCAAAGACCCACCGGCCUCCUGAUAUGGACUUGCAUGGACACUGCAGUGAGCUCCAGACCUUCAGCUGUAUCCUUCGGUCUCUGGUGUGCAGACACCCUCUGCGCGCUUCCUCAUCUGACUGUUGGUGGCCACUGUAAGCCAGUCUUGUAAACUGUAAUAUGUAUUUGCAUAUCCUGUGCUGUAUCUCUCUCUAUAGUAAACUCUGAUACAGAGGGCAGCCUGUUUGAACACUGGUUCUGCCAUCUCCGUACUGUGCUCUGUGUCUUCCUAUUUUCACAGCACGUCCCACCCCGCGUGUGUCUGUAUUUUUCUUCCUUGCCUAAUAAAUGGUAAU